GGCGCUAUAGAGGUGUAGUACCAGGUACUCCCCGGGGGAAGCGGUUUCAGAAUCGCGGAGCAGAUCCAACGUUCGGGCCGGAGCCGAGACGGAUAGGGAAAGGGCGUUUCGGUGAUUUUCACGGCGUUAGGCGCUUCGGGACGGUUGGGUCGCGCCCUUCUUCGGGUCGUUGGGUUGACCGAAUUGCCACUCCCGGCGCC
rnacentral:lncRNA from 1 species